AUAUAAAUAUCUAAUUAAAAAUUAUUUUUCUCUGCAGUUAAUUAACCAUGUCAAGUUCAAACCCUCUAGCCUGAAUCUUUGAGGCCAAUAGGUUGACCAAAUUGAACUAUAAAGACUGACUCUAGAAUUUGAGAAUCGUUCUUAGCUAUGAGAAAUUGAUCCAUAUCCUAGACUAAGAGAUGUCUGUGUUGUCGGCUCGCCCAUCCCC
rnacentral:lncRNA from 1 species